AGUGAACGCUGGCGAUAGGCCUAACACAUGCAAGUCGAACGGCAGCACAGUAAGAGCUUGCUCUUACGAGUGGCGAGUGGCGGACGGGUGAGGAAUACAUCGGAAUCUACUUUUUCGUGGGGGAUAACGUAGGGAAACUUACGCUAAUACCGCAUACGACCUACGGGUGAAAGCAGGGGAUCUUCGGACCUUGCGCGAUUGAAUGAGCCGAUGUCGGAUUAGCUAGUUGGCGGGGUAAAGGCCCACCAAGGCGACGAUCCGUAGCUGGUCUGAGAGGAUGAUCAGCCACACUGGAACUGAGACACGGUCCAGACUCCUACGGGAGGCAGCAGUGGGGAAUAUUGGACAAUGGGCGCAAGCCUGAUCCAGCCAUACCGCGUGGGUGAAGAAGGCCUUCGGGUUGUAAAGCCCUUUUGUUGGGAAAGAAAAGCAGCAGGUUAAUACCCCGCUGUUCUGACGGUACCCAAAGAAUAAGCACCGGCUAACUUCGUG
rnacentral:rRNA from 1 species